rnacentral:rRNA from 1 species
GGAAGUAAAAGUCGUAACAAGGUUUCCGUAGGUGAACCUGCGGAAGGAUCAUUACUAGUAUGGCGAAUCGAGCGUUAGCGAGGUUUUGCGAUCUAAUUUAUAUUUAAAACCUCACUCUUUAAAUGUAUUAUAUUGUAUUUUUGAUAAAUAAAAAAGAUCACUUUCGACAACGGAUCUCUUGGCUCUCGCAUCGAUGAAGAACGUAGCGAAGUGCGAUAAGUAGUGUGAAUUGCAGAAUUCCGUGAAUCAUCGAAUCUUUGAACGCAAAUUGCACUCUCUGGUAUUCCGGAGAGUAUGCCUGUUUGAGGGUCAAUUAAAUAAAAUCGGGCGUUUUUACUGUCCGGAAUUGGGUCGUCAUAACUUCGGUUAAGUGACUUAAAAUUUUGUAUGAUUUUUACAAACGUAUUUAAAAUAUUUUUGUACGUUUUUGUAAUAUUCAGUUUAUUAGAUGUGGUCAUUUUCGUGGUUCGCGUCUAUAAUUUCUCAUCUAUUGACCUCAAAUCAGGUAAGAAUACCCGCUGAACUUAAGCAUAUCAAUAAGCGGAGGA